GAUGAACGCUGGCGGCGUGCCUAAUACAUGCAAGUCGAGCGAACAGAUGAGGAGCUUGCUCCUCUGACGUUAGCGGCGGACGGGUGAGUAACACGUGGAUAACCUACCUAUAAGACUGGGAUAACUUCGGGAAACCGGAGCUAAUACCGGAUAAUAUAUUGAACCGCAUGGUUCAAUAGUGAAAGACGGUUUUGCUGUCACUUAUAGAUGGAUCCGCGCCGCAUUAGCUAGUUGGUAAGGUAACGGCUUACCAAGGCAACGAUGCGUAGCCGACCUGAGAGGGUGAUCGGCCACACUGGAACUGAGACACGGUCCAGACUCCUACGGGAGGCAGCAGUAGGGAAUCUUCCGCAAUGGGUGAAAGCCUGACGGAGCAACGCCGCGUGAGUGAUGAAGGUCUUCGGAUCGUAAAACUCUGUUAUUAGGGAAGAACAAAUGUGUAAGUAACUAUGCACGUCUUGACGGUACCUAAUCAGAAAGCCACGGCUAACUACGUG
rnacentral:rRNA from 1 species